UAUUGUGAUGAUUCAAAAUAUUCACACUGUACUAAUGCCAGCCCUUAAACAAGGCUGGUUUAAUGACUACAAAAAACAAAAAAAACUGAUUUAAUGACUCUGAUU
rnacentral:snoRNA from 1 species